GAAACUCUGGCUGCAAGAACAGAGCAAUGAAAAGUUUCUUUCUUUUCUUUUUUCUGUUUUGUUUUGUUGCGUCGUCGCCGACGAUGACUGAGCUGAUUCCACGAGAGAUAGAGAAGAAAGCACCAUGAACAUCUGAACAGAGAGAGAAUCACGCAAUGCGGAAAAGCUUGAUCUUGCUGCUGCAUCUGCGAGAGCAAUGGAUUAAUUCUUCUUCUUCAUCAUCAUCUACUUGUUCAUACAGAGGAGAGAGAGAGCGAUGAACAGAGGCAGAGCAUGAAAAGAACAAACGCACACACCAUUACAUCUUCUUUUCACCAUCCAUUAAUCUGAAUAAUCUCUACCUAGCUGCUCAUCGUCGUCUGCUCGAUUGCUUGUUGGCAGCAGCAGCAGCAGCAGCAGCAGCAGCAGGAGAAACUUGUUUGGUUGAAACGCCAUUGAUAAAGCUUGAGCAGUUCUUCCUCGUCUCCUCCUCCUCCUAGAGUUUCUUGUUCUUAGCUAACUCUAACCUUAGCUUGGGACGAUCACCUGAUCUUGGGCUGCUUCCUGUACACCACGCCGGCGCCGGCCGUUAAAUGGNNN
rnacentral:lncRNA from 1 species